rnacentral:rRNA from 1 species
GACGAACGCUGGCGGCGUGCUUAACACAUGCAAGUCGAACGGAAAGGCCCUGCUUUUGUGGGGUGCUCGAGUGGCGACCGGGUGAGUAACACGUGAGUAACCUGCCCUUGACUUUGGGAUAACUUCAGGAAACUGGGGCUAAUACCGGAUAGGAGCUCCUGCUGCAUGGUGGGGGUUGGAAAGUUUCGGCGGUUGGGGAUGGACUCGCGGCUUAUCAGCUUGUUGGUGGGGUAGUGGCUUACCAAGGCUUUGACGGGUAGCCGGCCUGAGAGGGUGACCGGGCACAUUGGGACUGAGAUACGGCCCAGACUCCUACGGGAGGCAGCAGUGGGGAAUAUUGCACAAUGGGCGGAAGCCUGAUGCAGCAACGCCGCGUGCGGGAUGACGGCCUUCGGGUUGUAAACCGCUUACGCCUGUGACGAAGCGUGAGUGACGGUAAUGGGUAAAGAAGCACCGGCUAACUACGUGCCAGCCGCCGCCGUAAAAC